GUUGGGGCAGCUAUAAUGCAGUCGAGCGAACAGAUGAGAAGCUUGCUUCUCUGAUGUUAGCGGCGGACGGGUGAGUAACACGUGGGUAACCUACCUAUAAGACUGGGAUAACUCCGGGAAACCGGGGCUAAUACCGGAUAAUAUUUUGAACCGCAUGGUUCAAUAGUGAAAGACGGUUUCGGCUGUCACUUAUAGAUGGACCCGCGCCGUAUUAGCUAGUUGGUAAGGUAACGGCUUACCAAGGCGACGAUACGUAGCCGACCUGAGAGGGUGAUCGGCCACACUGGAACUGAGACACGGUCCAGACUCCUACGGGAGGCAGCAGUAGGGAAUCUUCCGCAAUGGGCGAAAGCCUGACGGAGCAACGCCGCGUGAGUGAUGAAGGUCUUCGGAUCGUAAAACUCUGUUGUUAGGGAAGAACAAAUUUGUUAGUAACUGAACAAGUCUUGACGGUACCUAACCAGAAAGCCACGGCUAACUACGUGCCAGCAGCCGCGGUAAUACGUAGGUGGCAAGCGUUAUCCGGAAUUAUUGGGCGUAAAGCGCGCGUAGGCGGUUUCUUAAGUCUGAUGUGAAAGCCCACGGCUCAACCGUGGAGGGUCAUUGGAAACUGGGAAACUUGAGUGCAGAAGAGGAGAGUGGAAUUCCAUGUGUAGCGGUGAAAUGCGCAGAGAUAUGGAGGAACACCAGUGGCGAAGGCGGCUCUCUGGUCUGUAACUGACGCUGAUGUGCGAAAGCGUGGGGAUCAAACAGGAUUAGAUACCCUGGUAGUCCACGCCGUAAACGAUGAGUGCUAAGUGUUAGGGGGUUUCCGCCCCUUAGUGCUGCAGCUAACGCAUUAAGCACUCCGCCUGGGGAGUACGACCGCAAGGUUGAAACUCAAAGGAAUUGACGGGGACCCGCACAAGCGGUGGAGCAUGUGGUUUAAUUCGAAGCAACGCGAAGAACCUUACCAAAUCUUGACAUCCUUUGACCGCUCUAGAGAUAGAGUCUUCCCCUUCGGGGGACAAAGUGACAGGUGGUGCAUGGUUGUCGUCAGCUCGUGUCGUGAGAUGUUGGGUUAAGUCCCGCAACGAGCGCAACCCUUAAGCUUAGUUGCCAUCAUUAAGUUGGGCACUCUAGGUUGACUGCCGGUGACAAACCGGAGGAAGGUGGGGAUGACGUCAAAUCAUCAUGCCCCUUAUGAUUUGGGCUACACACGUGCUACAAUGGAUAAUACAAAGGGCAGCGAAUCCGCGAGGCCAAGCAAAUCCCAUAAAAUUAUUCUCAGUUCGGAUUGUAGUCUGCAACUCGACUACAUGAAGCUGGAAUCGCUAGUAAUCGUAGAUCAGCAUGCUACGGUGAAUACGUUCCCGGGUCUUGUACACACCGCCCGUCACACCACGAGAGUUUGUAACACCCGAAGCCGGUGGAGUAACCUUUUAGGAGCUAGCCGUCGAAGUGACAAG
rnacentral:rRNA from 1 species